GCAGCUUGCUGCUUUGCUGACGAGUGGCGGACGGGUGAGUAAUGUCUGGGAAACUGCCCGAUGGAGGGGGAUAACUACUGGAAACGGUAGCUAAUACCGCAUAACGUCGCAAGACCAAAGAGGGGGACCUUCGGGCCUCUUGCCAUCGGAUGUGCCCAGAUGGGAUUAGCUAGUAGGUGGGGUAACGGCUCACCUAGGCGACGAUCCCUAGCUGGUCUGAGAGGAUGACCAGCCACACUGGAACUGAGACACGGUCCAGACUCCUACGGGAGGCAGCAGUGGGGAAUAUUGCACAAUGGGCGCAAGCCUGAUGCAGCCAUGCCGCGUGUAUGAAGAAGGCCUUCGGGUUGUAAAGUACUUUCAGCGGGGAGGAAGGGAGUAAAGUUAAUACCUUUGCUCAUUGACGUUACCCGCAGAAGAAGCACCGGCUAACUCCGUGCCAGCAGCCGCGGUAAUACGGAGGGUGCAAGCGUUAAUCGGAAUUACUGGGCGU
rnacentral:rRNA from 1 species